UCCCCAGAUGCCUCAGGUUGCACCCA
rnacentral:piRNA from 1 species